GGAGUGUGUACCAACUCACCUACCGAAUGAACUAGUCCUGAAAAUGGAUGUCGCUAAGCCGCCGGCCGAUGCCUCGCCAUCCUAGACAAAGGAUGAGUAGGAGGGCGUGAGGGCCGCGCAGAAGCAUAUGCGUGAGCGUGUGUGGAGCGACUCUCAGUGCGGAUCUUGGUGGUAGUAGCAACUAUUCAAAUGAGAACUUUGAAGACUGAAGUGGAGAAGGG
rnacentral:rRNA from 1 species